CCUACGGGAGGCAGCAGUGGGGAAUAUUGCGCAAUGGGCGAAAGCCUGACGCAGCAACGCCGCGUGAGUGAUGAAGGCCUUCGGGUCGUAAAGCUCUGUUAAGGGGGACGAAUGACCGCUGGGAACAAUACCCUGGCGGCUUGACGGUACCUCUAGAGGAAGCACCGGCUAACUCCGUGCCAGCAGCCGCGGUAAUACGGAGGGUGCAAGCGUUGUUCGGAAUUACUGGGCGUAAAGCGCGUGUAGGCGGAUCCGGAAGUCGGGUGUGAAAGCCCUGGGCUCAACCCAGGAAGUGCGCCCGAAACCACGGGUCUAGAGGUUCGGAGAGGAUCGGGGAAUUCCCAGUGUAGAGGUGAGAUUCGUAGAUAUUGGGAAGAACACCGGUGGCGAAGGCGCCGAUCUGGACGGAUCCUGACGCCGAGACGCGAAAGCGUGGGUAGCAAACAGGAUUAGAUACCCCAGUAGUCC
rnacentral:rRNA from 1 species